CCAAGUCACAAUUUGUAAAAGUAAACGAUUAUAGGUUAAAGUGCAACCUUCAACACGGAGCCAUAUAUAUAUUUUUUUUGAUGAAGCGAACCCCUUUAAAAACUUUGCUAAUAUUAUCCAUUAAUCUAUAAAUAAAUUAAAUUCUUGGUGUACUUGGAUAUGCUGAAUCGAACUGUGUAUUUAGAUUUUGGAUAUUGGAUCAUAAUAGGUAAAUUAAAAAUUUUUAAGUUCUUAAGACCACAUUCAUUCUGUGUCAGAAACCUAUGCUGUGUCAAAUAUUUAAUCACAAUCCAAAUUCAGAGCUGUAUCAAGCUUGAAUGUUGUGUCCAUACUUGCCCCAACUGUUCAGGGUUCGACCUCUGCGGUCAUAUCAAGCUGCACCCAGCAGAGCAUUUUAUUA